ACUAAUUACAGAUGAUUUAAAAGUUUAAGGGAGGAUGUGUUGGGUUAUAUAUGGAAACAUUUUGUCAUUUUAUAGAAGGGACUUGAGCAUUUGCAGAUACCCUGGGGUCAGUCCCCCCCUCAGAAUCCAAGGGGUGACUGUACUUCUAAAUCUUUGAAUUAAUCAUAAUAGAACAGGAGAGAAGGGGGCAGGGCACAACCUUUAACGAAUGACAGAGCCAUUGAGGACAAGACAUAAACUGGUUGGAACCAAGUAGGUCCAAGUUGGGGGAUGGCAGGACUUCCAGUGGACUCGAGCCUCACUGUACCCUCACUGUAAUACAUUAGCAUAGGCUACAUGACACACCUACAGGUGCCAGGACAGCUCCAAGACCAACCAUAAAAGACCAAAAAGUGGGCAGUGACGCUAUUCCUGGAAAUCUCCAGCCCUUUUCCAAAUGGUUGGAAUAAUCCUCCCAUGUAUUAGCUCUGAAGUUACCCAGCCCAUGAAAACCAACCACCCCAGAUUUGGGGGCCACUCUCUUGCCUUUGGAAACAGAGCACAUUCUGUCUAUGGAACAUGUACCUCCCAGGCUGCUCUCACCUUCUGAGAUGGUCCACACUCUCUCUCUCACUAAAUCCACUUCUUACCUAUCAUGUUGCCUUUCGCUGAAUUCCUUCUGCUCUGAGACAUAAAGAAUCUGAACUUCAGUAAGUCCUGGCAUUUCAAUUAAAAGAGAGUGGGUUCAAGUCCUAAUCCGAGUUGUAGGGUUUCCAUAAGAAGUCCUCAAAAACAAAAACAAAGCCCUCACCUAAGAGAAUGGCGAAAUUCAAAAAGAGGAGGGGCUUGUUUUUAAUCCUUAAAUAGCUGAGUCCCUUCAAAAUUAAGAAGUCACUGUUUCCCCAGACAGUAGGCCAACAGAAAGAAGGACAUGUCCUUGGACCUAUCUUUCUGUGGCUGUCACAGCUGAGACAAAGCUGCGGGCCCUGCUGAGGAAGUGCAGCACCCCCCUUCAGAGAGCCAAGGUCUCUGUUUCCUUCCAGCAGGAACCAUAGAUGCUUCGUAGGAAAAUACAGGAAUUCGAUGCACAUGAAGCAAAAUACAACUAGCUCAGGGAGAGGGGGAGAGUUUUCCUGAAAUCCAUGAGUUUCCCUGGUUUCACAUGACACCGUGUAGGGUUUAUAAUUCACGUACCACAGGAGGCUGAACAUUGUCAUUUCCUGCCCCCUCCAAUGGUGGUUUUCCAGUGAGGAGAACAUUGUGACUAACCAGUGCUGUCUUUUUUUUUUUUUACUCUGUCUUCAUGUUUGUGAAACAAAGCUGGCUUAUACUUGCAGGGGGAGGGGCUGAGGAGGUGGGCUGCAGAGAAGCAACCUGGAGCUGGUCUUAUUAUCAAUCAUCUCCGCCGGUUGUGAGAGUUUUGACAAGAAAAACCUACCCACACAGACGGGCACUGCUGUGCAUUUACAGCAUGUUACUUAGAGCAUUUAUGAGACAUCAUCUAACGUUCUAUCAGAUGAGUCUUUCAAUAUAAAUAUUCAGACCGACUGAGAUUGAACUUUGUAACAUCCGAACUUGAUUAUGAAACAGGCAAGAGAGACUCUAUGCAUAUUUUCACUGGUUCACUUAGUCUUUCAUAUGUUGAAGGGUGUGUGCGUGUGCUUGUGUGUGUGUGUGUUAGGGGUGGAAUUUUCAAAUCUGGAGCUUCUAUGUAACAUGUAUUUGCUGUGGUGCUUGCAUGACGCUGAUGUUCAGCAGAGGUCGGCUAAGCGAACCUGUAGUUUGCUCGGGUUUCAUCACCAGUGAUUUCUUCUCUUGGGUAUGGUGGUUGUAAAACACUGCUGUGCGUGAAGGCCUACGUGGGCCCUCACUCAGCCCUUCAGGAAGGCCGCCUGUGACCUGAGGAACCUGCUGUUUGAGGUGCAGUCAGCUGUCAGAGGAAAUGGCUCUCAGGGACGGUCAGUGAACAGGCAGCUUCCAGAGCUAAGAAGCCCAGUCCUGAGGAGGGAGGACCCACACUCUCAGGAAGGUAAUAGCAUGUCACCAGAGGCGACCUUGAGCCCCUCGCACCGAGUGGAUGCAGGCAGAGAAGACUCUUAUGGAGCUGAAAUGAUUAGCACAUACAUGAUCUGGACUUUCGGAUCCAGAAAUUGUCACUCUCUCCCCAGCACUGCCGGGAGGGGAAGGGGAGAGGAUGACUUGACCAACAAGUCAUAUUACUCUGUGCUCUGGGACAUACUCCCAACAACGGAGACGCAGGCAGGAAGCCUCGUGUUGUAUGUACCCUUGACCAGGUGGUCACUGUAUUUUGCAUGAAGUAUGAAUUAACUAGACUUAAUGGCUGAUACGUCAGUUUCGUAUGGGUUUUGGUUAAGCAAGAGGCAGUUCUAAGCCAACCACUCCUGGUGCUGUAACUCAUCAUUUCUUGCCCUGAGAAGCCCAGGACCAGUCUGGGGGCUCAUCAGGGCAGUACCCCCUGGGAACCCAGCCUGCCCGGCUAACUAGCCCCCUCAGUGACACAUCCAGUGUCUCUCUGACUGCACGGGGAGGCCGUGGAGGGCAAGUGCCCAUCUCAUUACAACACUUGAGUUCCGAGUUGUGACACCAACAUCUGAUACGUCUCAUGUGAUUCAUAACUAUUCAUCAAAAAGCAGUUAUGCUUCAGCUGGUCUUAAAAAGAGACACUCCCAAAGUCCCUCCAGGAAUAAACGUUUGAAGGAGAACCUUCCUGAAUGGACAAAACUAUUUCCAGUGGAGCAAGAAGCCUGGAAUCUUGUCUAAGAAAAUGAAAAGAAGUUCCACGUACAUUCACCUUAGAAGGCCCCUUGAUCUGUAACACCAGCCAGCUUCAUCAUAUCGCUGAUCACCCCAGGAAAGGAACCACCUGCAGGCUGCCUGGUGGCUCAGAGGUGUCCUGAGUGACCACACUGCUUCCUACCGGCGCUCUGGGCUGGAUGCUGACAAAGCCAGAUGGGCGGCAGCAGCGUGACCACCCUGGGAACACCUCCCUGGCUUGGUUUUGAGGAGUGGCCGGUCCCCAGCUCUGCCUCCAGCUCCAGCUCCAGGACUGACUGACCACAGCAUCACAUCCUCCGGCUGCAGGGGCGGGUGCCAAACCAGGUCAGCGAUGCCAGUGGAAUUGGCUUCCAGAACUGUUACUGUGAACUGCAAAGAAGUGUUCUUUUUUGCUGCCCUUAUGAAGCUUGCCAGGAGCCGCCAUCUGAAGAAGUCAGCCCACCGCAGGGGCAGCCUGGAGAAAAGCAGAGCCGGGCUGCGGGGAGGAAGCCAGGCCUACCUCUCCCCAACAGUGGGUGCGGAGCCCACAGGGCACACAUCGCUGGACACCCACUUCUCAGGACAGUGGCGUAGCUGUGUUGAAAGGACCAGCCCUCAUUCUUUCUAGUAUAUACUACGCAAACCUGAACCACGCUUGCUGAAAGGAGACACUUGGAACGCAGUGGCUUCUUAGCAGGUGACGGUUAUUUUGUCAGGACAUGACAAGCGCCUAUCAUCCGGGGGAGGUCCAGCUCUUACUCUCAGGACAAAGUCACAGAUUUCCAAAAGGACCCUGGAAAGGCCUCAGGAAGUUGCCACCCGGGAGAGUGUUUCUCCAAGGCCCUUCGUGUCCAGACUUCCCCUCACGGCGGGACAGACCUCAGCUCCCUCGGGGUUUACGUGAGGGCGCUUGUGGAGAAUCCAUCUCUAAUGCCACAGUCGUGGAGAUCAGGCCACAUGGGCACAUGGCAGCUGAGCCCCUGUGAGAGAAGGACAGGCUUCAGCCACCACCUUGGCCUUCGAGGGCUGUAGCUCAUGGACAGAGAGAGUAUGACCUGGCUGUUACAUGUUAUCCUGCACUGUGCCCACCCCCACCCCUCAUUCCCCCACCUCUUUUUUUUUCCUUUGUGACCUUUAUUGCUAAAUUCAUUAAGGCACGGUGCGCAUCUGGGCAGUUCUGCUGUAUUACCAUCCAUUCCCGCUAAGUUAUCACCAUCCAAUCACACCCUGAGUGGAUCAGCACCCCAAUAUCAACUGCCAGGUCGGUCCAUGUGGAGAACCCUUUGACAUCUGGAUUGUCUUUUCCCUAGCAUGUGGCGAAAGCUCAAGGGGGCAUUUUCAGAAAGUAUACUCUGUGGUAGUUCUAAAAUAGUCCUUGGAAAACUAUAUGGAGAUGCCUCAAAAAAUUAAAAAGAGAACUAGUAAUUAGGAUCCAGAAAUAACGAGCCAGUAAUUCCACUCCUGGGUAUUAUCCAAAGAAAAAGAAAACACUAAU